GGAAGUUAAUAAAUUGUUUCUUAACUUUUAACUAAAAAAGCUAAGAACCGGUUUUUAAAUAAGGACUUUAAGAACCGGUUCUUAACUUUUUUAGUUAAAAGUUAAGAAACAGUUUCUUAACUUCC
rfam:Brassica napus, WGS project CCCW01000000 data, contig: 9191